GACGAACGCUGGCGGCGUGCCUAAUACAUGCAAGUAGAACGCUGAAGGAGGAGCUUGCUUCUCUGGAUGAGUUGCGAACGGGUGAGUAACGCGUAGGUAACCUGCCUGGUAGCGGGGGAUAACUAUUGGAAACGAUAGCUAAUACCGCAUAACAGUAGAUAUCGCAUGAUAGCUGCUUGAAAGGUGCAAUUGCACCACUACCAGAUGGACCUGCGUUGUAUUAGCUAGUUGGUGAGGUAACGGCUCACCAAGGCAACGAUACAUAGCCGACCUGAGAGGGUGAUCGGCCACACUGGGACUGAGACACGGCCCAGACUCCUACGGGAGGCAGCAGUAGGGAAUCUUCGGCAAUGGACGGAAGUCUGACCGAGCAACGCCGCGUGAGUGAAGAAGGUUUUCGGAUCGUAAAGCUCUGUUGUAAGAGAAGAACGAGUGUGAGAGUGGAAAGUUCACACUGUGACGGUAUCUUACCAGAAAGGGACGGCUAACUACGUGCCAGCAGCCGCGGUAAUACGUAGGUCCCGAGCGUUGUCCGGAUUUAUUGGGCGUAAAGCGAGCGCAGGCGGUUAGAUAAGUCUGAAGUUAAAGGCUGUGGCUUAACCAUAGUACGCUUUGGAAACUGUUUAACUUGAGUGCAAGAGGGGAGAGUGGAAUUCCAUGUGUAGCGGUGAAAUGCGUAGAUAUAUGGAGGAACACCGGUGGCGAAAGCGGCUCUCUGGCUUGUAACUGACGCUGAGGCUCGAAAGCGUGGGGAGCAAACAGG
rnacentral:rRNA from 1 species